GACGUAGGAUGCGAGCGUUGUCCGGAUUUAUUGGGCGUAAAGAGUUCGUAGGUGGUUUGUUAAGUUCGAUGUUAAAGAUCGGGGCUCAACUCCGGGAGUGCAUUGAAUACUGGCAGACUCGAGUGCGGUAGAGGCUAGUGGAAUUCCCAGUGUAGCGGUGAAAUGCGUAGAUAUUGGGAAGAACACCGGUGGCGUAGGCGACUAGCUGGGCCGUAACUGACGCUGAGGAACGAAAGCCAGGGGAGCGAAUGGG
rnacentral:rRNA from 1 species